UACGAAGGGGGCUAGCGUUGCUCGGAAUUACUGGGCGUAAAGCGCACGUAGGCGGAUCUUUAAGUCAGGGGUGAAAUCCUGGAGCUCAACUCCAGAACUGCCUUUGAUACUGAGGACCUUGAGUUCGGGAGAGGUGAGUGGAACUGCGAGUGUAGAGGUGAAAUUCGUAGAUAUUCGCAAGAACACCAGUGGCGAAGGCGGCUCACUGGCCCGAUACUGACGCUGAGGUGCGAAAGCG
rnacentral:rRNA from 1 species